rnacentral:pre_miRNA from 1 species
GUAAAAAUAGUGAGAAAGGUGCCUUCAAGAGCACCUGGUAUAGAUAAAGUAAGGAAAAGAAACAAAGUCCUAAUGUUAUCAAACAGAGAACCGGAAAACUAGUGUAUAGUUUUCCUUACUUUAUCUAUACCGGGUGCUCUUGAAGGCACCUUUCUCACUAUUUUUACG